rnacentral:lncRNA from 1 species
CUCCUACUAAGUCUGAGGAUUCAUAUAUCAUGAUACUAUAAAUCUACUUCUAUGACUAGAUCAAUCGCUUAUGACAACUAAAACCCACUAGCAACUUCAUUCAAGUCUUAUGACAACUAAAUGCUAGUUUUCCAAUGCUUAUCAAGAUCCCCUAAAGCAAGAAGAAGAUCAUAAUUGCAACAUUCCCUAAAGAUCAAUUCAGCAAGUGUCGGGAUAUAAUCAAGUAGAUACUCUCCAGAAAGAUUAUUGUUUAUUGGCUAGUGUGAAAAUUGUAACUUUAUAAUACUUAAACCUUAUGUAUAUCAGUCCUGAUUGAAUUACAACAUGAAACCAGAAUAGGGGGCCACAACUUAAAAAAUAUAUCAUAUAUCUCAGAACAUUUCAAUAUUAUGUUGGAGUACCAAUCGCUAAGUGGCCACCGAAAAAAUUUCUUCAAUUGUGCCAUCUGCUUCCAAAAAAAGUAACAAUAAUUCCUAAAGUAAUUAAUUUCCUAGAUUUAUAAGCAUUCACAAAGAUUGAGAAACUUUCUCUUCAAAAGAUCUCAAAUCACUCUGCCAAUAGACAUUUUCAGUUACCCUGGAAAAAAAACUGUCUCAAGCUCCUCUAAUAUUUGUUUCACAUAUUU